GACGAACCAUGCAAACGUUAUUCGGAAUCACUGGGCUUAAAGCGUGCGUAGGCGGCUCAGAAAGUUGGGUGUGAAAUGCCUCGGCUCAACCGAGGAAUUGCGCCCAAAACUACUGGGCUUGAGGGAGUUAGAGGUGAGCGGAACUCACGGUGGAGCGGUGAAAUGCGUUGAUAUCGUGAGGAACACCGGAGGCGAAAGCGGCUCACUGGGGCUUCACUGACGCUGAGGCACGAAAGCUAGGGGAGCAAACGGGAUUAGAAACCCCCGUAGUCC
rnacentral:rRNA from 1 species